rnacentral:rRNA from 1 species
AGAGUUUGAUCAUGGCUCAGAUUGAACGCUGGCGGAAUGCUUUACACAUGCAAGUCGAACGGCAGCACGGGGCAACCUGGUGGCGAGUGGCGAACGGGUGAGUAAUACAUCGGAACGUGCCCAAUCGUGGGGAUAACGUAGCGAAAGUUACGCUAAUACCGCAUACGAUCUACGGAUGAAAGCGGGGGAUCGCAAGACCUCGCGCGAAUGGAGCGGCCGAUGUCAGAUUAGGUAGUUGGUGGGGUAAAGGCUCACCAAGCCAACGAUCUGUAGCUGGUCUGAGAGGACGACCAGCCACACUGGGACUGAGACACGGCCCAGACUCCUACGGGAGGCAGCAGUGGGGAAUUUUGGACAAUGGGCGCAAGCCUGAUCCAGCCAUUCCGCGUGCAGGAUGAAGGCCUUCGGGUUGUAAACUGCUUUUGUACGGAACGAAACGGUUCUCUCUAAUACAGGGGGCUAAUGACGGUACCGUAAGAAUAAGCACCGGCUAACUACGUG